UGCCAGCCUCCUCCCUUCCAUCCCAACCCCUUUCCCUCUGCCUUCGUGGCAGCCUCCCCGCACGGCUCCAUCUGCUCUCAUGACAGUGAUAACAAGAUCCUAGCACUAGGCCAUCUGAAGGCUCUCUGUUCAUCCUCACAGGAGGCUCAAACCCGUGGAACGAGGGGUCGGAAGCGGGCGGCUCUGCGGCACUGGUUGGGGAGACUCCCGGCUGCGCGCACCGAGAGCCUAGGCACGCGCGGUGCUGCAAGAGGAGGCAAAGCGGGUACGAUUUCGCUGGAGGAGGGAGGACGCGCGCACGGAACUGUGCGCCCGCGCGGGGUUCAAUCCUCCUAGGAAGGCCUUGGGGCGCCCUCCCUUGGGCGCUAGGAUCCCACCUUAGGGCGACGGGACUGAGGCGUGGGCCGCGCUGGUGGGGCUCCCGGAAAGGCACCGGCAGUUCUGCGAGUCCAAGGCUUGAGGCUCAUUGAUUUUUUUCUUUUCAGUAGCAGAAUUAAUACAGUCAAGCCCGUCGGUCAGUCACAGUUAAAUUGAUUCCUUGCCCAAAACACCUCUCACUAAAUGGCACACGCUUCAACAUGUUAAUUUUUAAAACGUAA